rnacentral:rRNA from 1 species
AGUGAACGCUGGCGGUAGGCCUAACACAUGCAAGUCGAACGGCAGCACAGGAGAGCUUGCUCUCUGGGUGGCGAGUGGCGGACGGGUGAGGAAUACAUCGGAAUCUACUCUGUCGUGGGGGAUAACGUAGGGAAACUUACGCUAAUACCGCAUACGACCUACGGGUGAAAGCAGGGGAUCUUCGGACCUUGCGCGAUUGAAUGAGCCGAUGUCGGAUUAGCUAGUUGGCGGGGUAAAGGCCCACCAAGGCGACGAUCCGUAGCUGGUCUGAGAGGAUGAUCAGCCACACUGGAACUGAGACACGGUCCAGACUCCUACGGGAGGCAGCAGUGGGGAAUAUUGGACAAUGGGCGCAAGCCUGAUCCAGCCAUACCGCGUGGGUGAAGAAGGCCUUCGGGUUGUAAAGCCCUUUUGUUGGGAAAGAAAUCCAGCUGGCUGAUACCCGGUUGGGAUGACGGUACCCAAAGAAUAAGCACCGGCUAACUUCGUGCCAGCAGCAGCCGCCG